rnacentral:lncRNA from 1 species
GCUGAAUACAUAUUGAACUGGAUUAUAACCAUAUUGCAUAUACGCAUUAUCUACAGAUAUCAGCUUUGUACGAACAAUUUUAAGUUAUAUACUAGUAAAGUACUGGAAGAAAGAAGACGGCGAGUAUGAACAGCAAUUUGAUUCAAGCAUUUUUCUUGUGUAUGUUGUUUCUAGAUAUACACCAAAAUGUUAAUGGUAUGUAUAUAACAUAAUAAAGAAACUGCUUGAAUGUUUAUGCUACCAUUUCAUAUACUUCGUAAUGUAGAUGUUUUUUAUUGGACGCUUGGUGUAGUCGUUCUCUUUCUCAAUUAUUGGAUUGUCAAAGACAUUAUGGAAAGUGUGAACGUAAAACAAAGUUUAUAAAAUGCAGCCUUGAAUAAAAGUUGAUAUUUUGUUUUAAAUUCGACACAAGACCAAAAACAAAAUGGUCGGUUAUUCUUACAUCGAAACAAAGAGUUUUAAUUUUAAUUUAAAUUUUAACUUUAAUUUUGAGUAUAAUUCUCAUUUUAAUUUUGAUUUUAAAUUUUAAAAUUGAUCUUCUUUUAUAUUUGGAUUUUCAACAUAUUUGUAUCGAUAUCGAUCAUCACUGCAUAGAUAUGUUUUUUUAGAAAUGUGCAUUUCUGUAGUAAUAUUCAACUAAUGUUAUAGCCUAUAAAAUUACUUGCUCUUGCCAGAUUUACCAUGAGAACAGAUAUUUUAGACUGAAAUUAUUAAAGAAACAUUUAUAGACAAAGCAAUUUUACUUUAAUAUGAUCUUAUUAUUGGUUCAGUCGUAGUGUAGCAAGUCAUUACAUAAUGCAAACAUUGCGUAUUUCAGUUUUGUAUUAUUAUUACCACAGCAUAAUGACGGGAUGUACAAGUACCAAGCCACAUCAAUUAGACAUUCUCAAAAAAAGACUAAUCAGUAGAAAUAGUAAUUUACAAAGACAAAUACAAGAAUAUUAUAUGUAAUUGAAGGUACCAGGCUUAUAUUUGAUAGGCGCGUUUCGUCUACAUAUAACUCAUCAGUGAUGCUCAUAUCUAAACAGUUAGAAAACCAAACAAGUAUAAAGAUAAAUAGCAUUUAGGAACCUAAAUUCAAAAAGUUGUGCCAUUUACGGCUAAGGUAAUCUAUGCCUGCGAUAACAAAAUCCUCAGUAUUUCGAAUAAUUCACACGACGAUCAUAAGCGGCUAAUAAUUGAUAAUUUCUGUACAUGAAUAACACGUCAUAACGAUGACAAACAACGACAGUACUCAAUCUAUAUACACCAUCAUGCAUGGUGUUUGACGUUGAUACGAAAAAGUUAUCAACAAGGUCUUGAUGAACUUUUUUAGAAAAGGUAGGAGACGGUUUUAGACGUACUUCUAUUAGAAAAAACUUUCUGCUUAGACACUGGUGACGUUUUUCAAAGUCUUAGUAGCAGCUGCAGACUCUUGAAUAGCAACUUAUUACAGAUGUAGACGAGGUGUUGACACUCCGAUAAAUUAAAUUUCUUUCAAAUCUUUGAAAUGUUACAUAAUAACAUCUCUCUACACCUAAACAAAGACUUAUCCAACUGGGAAGUAACAAACAAAAAUAUUUCAAACAUGUUACCUUUUGAAUUUUUUUUUUAAAUAUAAAUACAUGAUAAUGAUUUUUAGAGGGAUGCAUUAGGUACAAGUAUUUAUGCAUUGUGUUUCAUUCUAAAUAUUACGAGCAUCUUCUUGUAAACAGCUUUCAAGUCACCAUAAUCAAAUAUAAUUGAAAUGGAUUAUAAUCAUAAUGCAUUUACACGUCAUAUACACAUAUAUAUAUAUUAGCUCUGUACGGAUAAAAUCAAGUUAUCACUAUUAAGGAACUUGAAGAAAGAGGAGGGCGAAAAUGAACAGCAGAUUGAUUCCAGCUCUUUUCUUGUGUAUGUUGUUUCUUAAUACACACCAGAUAGUAAAUGGUAUGUACUUAAUAUAAUUUAAAAAAAAAUGUUUUCAUUUUAAUACUACCGUUUUAAAGACAUACUUCUUGAUUAGUAUCAAAUUUAAUAAAAAUCAAAUUUGAUAUUUAUGAAUGAGAUGUGAUGUAAACGUCACAAUGCAAAAUUGAUUUGUAUCAUUGUGAUUAGUUAAGCACUUUCAAUUGGUGUUAUAGUUUGUUCAAUGCCAAUGGUUAAGGGUUGGGUAGGUGUCCGCUAACUUAAUUAACUUUGCCCCAAUUCUGUAUGUGUCUUCUCAAUUCUGAAGCCUGUAAUUUAGAGAUUGUCGUUUAUUUCUAUAUAUUUGCUUUUGGUUCAUUAAUUUGUACAUAAUUCAGGACUUUAGUUUUCUCGUUUGUUUUGUUUUUACAUUUGUCAUUUCGGGGCCAUUUUUAUAACUGAAUAAGCGGUAUUGGUUUUACUCAUUUGGGAAGGCAGUACUGUAACAUAUAGUGGUUAAUGUCUGUGUCAUUUGGGCUCUUGUGAAGAGUUGUCUCAUUGACAAUCAUACCACAUCUUCUUAUUUCUAUAUAAUAACAUCAGAAAAGAAAAUCGGAAAAUUUAUAAGAAAAAAAUUACCAUUAGUUCAUGGUUUAAGUAAGUUUGAUCAAGUGUUGACACAUAGAAUGUUAAAGAUCUGUAAUUUGCAAUAUAAAAAUCCCUUCCUCAUUCUAAGCCCCUAGUCCUAUUUUUUAUGUUCUGUUCAAUAAAUAGUGUUUUGUUGUCAGUGAUCUUGGGUUUUCUUUUUGUCACAAGUUAUUUGUUUGAAUUCGAUAGAUGAUUUUUUGUUGGCCGCUGUGUGUCGUCGUUCUCCUUUUUUGUUAUGGGAUUUUCAAAGACACAUGGAAAGUGUGGACGUAAAAAAAUGUUUUUAAAAUGCAGCCUUGAAUCAAAGUUGAUAUAUAUAUAUUUGUUUUAGUUUGACACGGGUAGUAAGAAAAAAAAAGUCGGUUAUACAUUUUGAUAAAAAAAAUUUCCAUAAAUACUAUUUUUUACCUGAUUAAAUCAAAUAUGCAAUAAAAAAUAAACCUUCAUGUGCUACUUUUUGAGUAAAAAGAGGUCGAAAUUUUGUAUAUUUGCUCAAAAGUAGGAUUUGUGGCCGUAUUUUCCCUUUCGAAAGAAAGACAUAACUUUUUUGUUUUAAAAGAUAAACACAAUUUCUUUUUUAUUUUAAAAGAUAAACCCAAUUUCUUUUUUUGUUAAAUAAUUUGUAAUUUCUGUAUUUUAUAAGAAUCCUUAAAAUUCAUACAUUUUUUUUAUCAGAAAUAACUCAUAUUUAUCGAAUGUUCAUGAAUGUAGAAAAAAACAUCAUUUUUUGCUGUAUAUUUAUCAAAUUUAAGAAAAUGCACUAUUUACGUUACGUGCAUCAUGAAAUUUGGCACACAUAAUCUUCUCCCGUAAUCAAACCAAAUGGCAUUUUUCAAAAAGAGGGGUCAAUGAACUCGUUUUCAAGUUAAAUAAGUUUGAAUGAUAAAAAUCAGUCGAAAACUGAAUCUUUUCCCGAUAAUAAAAUUAACGGUACCAAUUUUCUUGCACCAGAUGCGCAUUUCGACAAUACAUGUCUCUUCAGUGAUGCUGGAGUUUGACGUAGCGAAAAUAACAAUUUACGUUAGCAACAUCAUUACCUCCCCUAUAACUGUAUCGUAUACCCUUAAUGUAAUAGCCCAUGAAAAUGUUGACUCUAGCCAUAGUUACAAUUAGAAAAGAUGUUUAUGACUGAAAGUAUCAACGAGCCAUUUAUAAAUCAAGCAAUUUUCUUUCGAUAUGAUCUGAUUAUUGGUUCAGUCGUAGUGUAGCAAGUCCUUACAUAAUGCAAACUUUGCUUACUUCAGUUAACCUUUGAGAUAUAAAUGAAAUAUUUAAGUUAUGAGUAAAAUCUCUUUUUUUAUUGAAAGUAUUACAUAUAGCUAUUAUAGUAAAUAAACGAUAUGCUAUUUUACAUGAAUACAUUUAAAAUAUCGGUGAUCGACGUUACUAUCAUUUUCAGGUUCUGUUAUACCAGUUCAAGAUGGUACCAAUCCAAACACCUGUGUAUGUUCAACGGGAUUAGUUUGUGACGAGGCAACCAACAUGUGCAUUGAAG